ACCGCGACCUGCGAUCAUUGAACGAGGCACGCAGCGGUGGUGGUGGAGAUAGGGAGACCCUCUGUGCCGGGGGGACCCUCACCAAGGUGAAGACACCGAGGCUCAGGGAGGAAGCAAAGCGCGGAGCAGGGCCAGAUCUGUCUGGCUCCUGACCCCACACCACAGCUUUCGACAUUGUUUAGUAACAGCCUCUGCAUCCUGAGGGUGCUCUCGCUAGGUGUGACUUGAAUCUCUCCUCCCCUCGCCUGCGUUGGAUCUGAUGGAAGGACUGUGUAAGUAGGUCGGAUCUGCUUCUAACCCAGCCUUGAGAGACAUCACCUGUCUUCUUGUGCAGAUCCUCAGAACAGGAAGGUGGCAGAAUCGUGUUUCAAAGUGGGACUUGAAGAUGCUUGGCAGGAGACUCG